GAGAGAGUGAACGUGUGUGGAGACGAGAAGGAGAGAGACAGGGUGAAAUGUGUGAGAGGAGAAAAAGGUGGAAUGUGUGAGAGAGAGAGAGAGAGACAGGGUGAACGUGUGUGAGAGAGAGAGAGAGAGACAGGGUGAACGUGUGUGAGAGAGAGAGACAGGGUGAACGUGGUGAGAAGAGAGAGACAGGGUGAAUGUGGAGAGAGAGAGAGAGACAGGGUGAAUGUUGAGAGAGAGAUGAGAGAGAGACAGGGUGAACGUGUGAGAGAGAGACGAGAGAGAGAGAGGACGGCUGGACGUGUUGUGAUGAGAGAGAGACAGGCGGGACGUUGGUGAGAAGAGACAGGGGACGGUUUGUGAGUGAGAGAGAGACAGGCUGGCCGUUUGUGAGUGAGAGAGAGACAGGCUGGACGUUUGUGAGUGAGAGAGAGACAGGCUGGACGUUUGUGGUGAGUGAGAGAAAGACAGGCCUGGACGUUUGGUGAGUGAGAGAGACAGGCUGGACGUUGUGAGUGAAGAGACAGGCUUGGCCGUUUGUGAGUGAGAGAGACAGGCUGGACGUUGUGAGUGAGGAGACAGGCUGGACGUGGGGUAGUGAGAAGGGUGGCUGAGUGAUGACAGGCGUGAGUGUGUGAGGUGCGUGAGUGCGAUGAUGGAUGAGUGAGUGAGAGUGCGGAGAGAGGAGAGAGAGAGCGAGAGAGAGAGAGAGGAGAGAGAGAGAGAGAGAGAGAGAGAGAGAGAGGGCGAGAGAGAGAGAGAGCGAAGAGAGAGCGAGAGCGCAGCAGAAGAGAGAGAGAGAGAGAGAGACAGGGUGAUGUGUGAGAAGAGAGGGACACUCGACAGGAGAGAGAGAGAGUGUGUCAUUUAGACGAGAGUUGUUGUAUAUAUGGUAAGCAGGAAUUGUCAGGCAGGCGUAAAAGCGUCGCCUUGUUAACAUCAACAAGCCAUUUCCCUUGAAAACCAGAACAUCUUGUCUCUGCCCAGUCUAACAACCAGAUGUUCCUGUUUCCAGGGGAAACAGCUUUUGGAUGUUAGCAAGGCGACGCUCCAUCUCAACUCCUCCACAUUUACUGGAUUGGUUGAACAGUGCAGAAGAGGCCUACGUCUCCUAACCAUGUGAAGAGUGUAGUUUUUUGCUCUCAGAUAGAGAGAAGGGGGGAGUCUAGUUCUCCGCCAUCAUAGCGUUACCUCUCAUCAUGGGGAGUCCAUCAGGACACCAGAGGUUCGUCCAAAACACUGCAGAGAAUCUAGUACUGUUUUCAAAAAAACGUCUUUAAGAGUAGGAUUUCUGAUCUAGGAUCUGUUUAGUCUUUUAG
rnacentral:lncRNA from 1 species